rnacentral:rRNA from 1 species
AACGUAGGAGACAAACGUUAUCCGGAGUACUGGGCGUAAAGGGCGUGUAGGCGGUCUGUUAAGUCUGGCGUGAAAGCUCUCGGCUAAACCGGGAGAGGUCGUUGGAUACUGGCAGACUAGAGGACGGUAGAGGCGUGUGGAAUUCCGGGUGUAGUGGUGAAAUGCGUAGAGAUCCGGAGGAACACCAGUGGCGAAGGCGACACGCUGGGCCGUACCUGACGCUAAAGCGCGACAGCAUGGGGAGCAAACGGG